UUGUUAGUUAUCCUGAGAAAGACCAUGCCUCCACAGUGCGUUAUACAAAUAUUCCAUGCUAUCAAAGGCACUUCCGAUCUAACAAAGAUUCAAAUGCCAAGCCUAACAAUGAAUAACAACAAACAACCACAUUCUAAAAUGUACUAAACUUGGAUAUGCACUUUGUUACUUCAUUUUAUAAACCGUUAUAAGCGCUAUAAUUUCUUUCAUUUAUCUGAUUUAAUUGUCCCAAACUCCCAAUACAUAUUUAAACCGUGUUGUGGGCUUACAAGAGACAAAUGACAAAUUCAAAAUAAUGGGCCAGCCCAAGUUACUUGACUAGGCGAUGUUAAUCCACUUACUCACUUCAUGACCAUCCCCUCCUUCUCCAAUCUCUCACUCACCCUGUAGUUUCCACCGCAUCGCCGCUGCUCCUCUGCAUCGGAGAGACGUCUUCAAUUGCAAGAUCCACUCCUGCACGCACAAGAUCUAAUUCCUCCAAUGUACGCAUCGCGUCACCAGGUCAGUUCGUUAGCUGGAUCCUCACCAGGUCAGGCUACCUCAACCACUUCCAAGUGAACCUUCACAAACAACACAGUAUUACCUCUAAAAGAUAGCAAGUAAAUCCGGAGUAUUUCAGUUUUGAGCUGAUGAUUUUUUCCUAGAGGCAAGGUCAUAGAUAGCAAAGUUUUACUUUUCAAACAAAGGCAGUAGUGUAAUUAUUAGCCAUCAUUAAAAUCAAUAUUGUCUCAUGAAAAUGCCUACCCUGUUGACCCACUAAUGGCAACUACAAAAAUGUUUGAUUCAUCACGCCUAAUUCAAAUUAGCUUCAAUGCCUCAUGUUUACUUCCAUAGCCUAAACUAAUAAAUCACUGAAACUUCUUCUCUGCUAAACCUAUGUCUACUUGCUAAUCAACACCCGAGUAAUAACAUGGUAGAUCAUCAUACAUGUUUAUCUCCUGUUUUCUUGAUGUCUGAGUAACAGUAUAUGCAUGUGUACUCUACAGUUUAAACAAGCUCAACGCCCUACUAUUCUGGUUGAUAGCUGACUGUUGAGUCAUUGGCACUAAGGUUGCUAAUAGAACGGCGCACUUACAGAGAGUCCAUGAACAAGAUAGAAAGCAGAAAAUAUAACAUAAAAUAGAGAUGUAAUUCCCCUUUCUACUAUGAUGUAUAUGCUUGUUUAGGGCAAACCAUAUAUUUUCAGAAAUUUGUACCUUAUCAGCUAUUUGAUUUGGUUACCGCAGUUCGGUCUUUUCCCUCUUGUGAGUUCUGCACCAUCCUCACAUGAUUCAUCAACAACCACCUAGAAACGAUCAGCAGAGAAAAAAAAUCAAAGUGAAAUCAAAUGGAAUCGCAUGUAGGUAGUAGCAAAGUACGAUAUGUCACUCUAUUGGCACUUCGCCUGUACACCAUGCAACAUCAAGUGAGGCAUGAGCAAUAAAGUGAUCAGAUACCAACAUCAUGUAUUAAGCACAAAUCAUGAAUCAAUACCAGAGGACCAAAUAGUGUCACCACCUCUGUACUAACAACCAAACUUUUUUUAGAAGAACAGGGAGGCUCUAACAACCAACGUUUUAGCAUGUCAUUUGUUUAACAACCAAGCCGUUUACCAAGCAAAACCACAAUAGCUAAAUCUCCCAAGAGCAUACUUUCAGAGAAGCACAGUCUAGAUCAUGCACCCACAAAUAAACGACUUGGUUUUCAACUGGCAUAAUGAUUUCCUUCCUACCGCAAACCUCUGCCUGCAGCUUUAAACUGAACCAUCAAGUUCGAAUGUCAUUUAUCUACAAAAGUAUUGCCAUGGCAGUCUAAUUUCCCAAGGGCAGGAGUGAAAUAUACUUUCAGAAUGUGCAGUUCAGAUCAUGCAGUUAGAAAUAAACUUUAUGGUAGUAACUCUACAGGACUUGCUAUUCAAUUAUCUUUUCUAGUACCCAUUUUGAACACGACACAAUGAUUAGCUCCUAUUAUGUAAGGUCACACUAUUUAAAUCGAGAAUUGCUCGCAUUUUCAUGAUUUUUUUAGUUAUCCUAGUAGUGUUUACUUGCACAUCAGGAGUAUCACAGUUACAGCUAGAGAGGCAUUGUCCUAUCAUAAUUUAAAUAUCAGAAGCUGACAGCAGUAAUGUAAAUACAUAUGGUCGAGACAUAAUUUUGUAGCAAAACAUGUCAGAGAGGCAAUAGAUUACAUGUGAAGGCACCCACACAAGAUUAUUACAAGAGCAGACACAAGGAUCAGAACACUAAGUAACAAUUAGAAUCUGUAUUGCGAGCUCCCUUCCCCCAUUCUAUUUUUGCUUGACAUUCAAACCAAAAACAAAGUAAUUCUUUUUAAUUUCCAAAGCACAUGUGAAUAUGACAAUACAACUUGUCAAACCAGUACAUUGACUCAUAGCUCUGUGUCUAACAUUCAAAUUUAAAAUUAAGUAACUCUAUUUUGUUCUUAACGAAAACAAAAAGGACCUCAGAAAGCCCAAGUAGCACCAAAAAAAUAUAACACGGGAUAUUAAAAAAACACUGAAGCAUCAGAGUAGAGAGUAAUUAUCAAAUAGAAACAAAAGGAAAACAAAAGCAAGAAGCUCCCAUCCCCCAUCUGUUUUUGUUUUCUUUCACUUAUAUACACCAGACCAAUAGACAAGCACUUUAACUAUAAAAAACAUAAUUCCUAAUUCAAGAACAUAGUUGAAUAUUGGAGCACCACAUACUACUCUUCGUAAAGUAAAACCAGGCAUGUGAAGUCUCGCUUGACGGACGCUGCUUAGGAAGGAUUCAAUUAUGCUAUUGUUCAGUAGGUACAUUACAAAGCCCGUUCAUGCUAACAGUAGUAGAUUCUUGUAAUCACACUUCAUGUUCUAUUUUCUAAAUAAAAUAAAUGAUCUCGCUAUAGCAGAAAACAAUACAUGCAUAUAGCUGACUGAAUUACCUCGCAAAGGUUCUGUUCUUGCAUUUCUACAUCGCCCUUGGUGCUGAAAAUAUAUAAAACAUCAGGCCAACGCUUAACAAGAUUUUGAUACUUCAGGUGAUAGGAGCACAUCCUACCAGAAGUUUAGAACAAGAUGCACCAGAAGAACAGAUAAACUGAACUGUAGACAGUUACCCCAAACACAUAACAGGAACUGACAAACUUAACUGCAACAAAUCAUUAUACUCCACAGGAGCAAAAGAAAAUAGAACCGAAAGAGGAAGCACAAACCUUGGCAGCAAGAAUAACAACAUGUGAGCCGACAAGAUGGUGGAAGAGCGGCAUCAUCUGCAACACAAACAGAAAGAACAUAGGAAGAACUGAUCAGACAGAUAAAACACAUGAAAAUGUAUAUAAGACAACCAAUGGUAGUACAUAUAGGUGAAUUAAAAUGCAUUGGGUCAGCCAAAAACAGAGAAAACAUAACUGAUGAGAGCACAUAAAAGUAGAAAUAUGGGAAAGGAAGCCAAUGGUACAAUAGACAAAUUGUAAUGCAUGUGCUAAAAUAAAUGGGCUCAUCCUAGAGUCGUAGACCACCCGUCAAAUAAUCACCACAACACAUCCAAGCAGAAAUCCAGGGAAUGCCAAAGGCAGAAUAGACAAGCUCCAAAAUCGAUCUAGCUAGUCCAGGCAAGACAGGGGAAUGGGCUGCUGCAAUCAAAGUUAUAUGCAAGAUUCAGUAACAGAUUACUUCGUUGCCGCUGACUCAGAACUGAACUAAGCUAGGCAUACCCGCUGGAUUCAGGAACAUAUUACUUCGUUGCCGCUGACUCAGAACUGAAGUAAGCUAGGCAUACCCGCUGGAUUCAGGAACAGAUUACUUUGUUGCCGCUGACUCGGAACUGAACUAAGCUAGGCACCCGAGCACCGCGCUAGUCUGCUAGAAUCCAGCGGGUAUGCCAACAAAUAUCCUCGUUUGAUAUGCCAACAAAGAUCACACACAUGGGGAGGUUGUCAAAACCAAUACAUCAGCACACAUCGCUUU
rnacentral:lncRNA from 1 species